GAAUAUUGUUUUGGGAAGGAGAUGGUUCUUGGAGUAUGGACGGGGACACACGGCCUUGCUUGCUUAGCAGGAAUUGAGGAUGUCGCAGUUACUUCAGUCCUUGACCACUGGGGGGCAUGAGUUCAAGCCUGCAAUGUCUGAGUCCCCCAGGCAGGCCGUGCAGCAGUGAGCUUUUGGUGAGCAAUUUCUAUGCCCCAGAGCCUCACUAUGUAGCCCAGGCUGGCCUUGAACUUGCUGCAAAUCCUCCUGCUUCAGCCUCCUAAAUGCUGGGAUUACAGAUAACCAAGGAACUCUUUGGCCUCUUCUUGUCCAUGUCACCCCUGGAGGUUGAUGGAGAAGGGGCUCUGGAGCCGUGACUGGGGAUGGGUAAGAUUGCUUAAACUAGGUCAAUAUGGAUCACCUAACAAGCCAUCCCAAUUCGGUUCUGUCACCUUACCAAAACUCCUAUACAAUAAGACCCAACUGAAGAAGAGAACUACAGGGCAAUCUCCCUAAUUAACAUAGAUGCAAAAGUCCUUAAUAAGAUACUGACAAACAUAACACAGAGGGUCAUCAAGAAGAUCAUUCACC
rnacentral:lncRNA from 1 species